UGAUUUCUCUAAGGAAUUCUAAGAUAGGUUUAAGGGCAAAAGAUUUGUCACAUUAACUACAUUUGUAAGGCUCUUCUAUAUGUAUGCUCUGAUGCCUUUUAGAUAGUUUUUCUCAGGAAUGGACUUGUCAUACUCACAGAAUUUGUAAAAUUUCUUUCCUGUAUCAAUUCUCAGAUGAAUUUGAAGACACCUUUUAAAAUAAAGAUUUGUCAUAUUCAUUACAUUUGUAAGGUUCCCCCUACGGUUCUCUGCUGAGUUCUAAUAGAGUCUUUCCUGAUAAAGAGUGUUCAAUAUUCCUUUCAUUCCUGAGGUUUCUCUUCUUUAUGUAUUAUCUGAUAUUUUCUAAGACUAUCUUUAAAGGUAAAACAUUUGCCACAUUCAUUAAUUUGUAAGUUUUCUUUCCUGUAUGAAUUCUCUGGUGAACUGUGAGAUGACUUUUCUAGGUAAAGCAACUGACACAUUCACAGCAUUUGCAAUGUAUCUUAGUUAGGGUCUUACUACUGUGAAACACACUCCAUAACCAAGGCAACUCUUAGAAAAGACAAGAUUUAAUUGGGGCUGGCCAACAAGUUCAGAGGUUCAGUCCCUUAUCAUCAAGGAGAGAGCUAGGCAGUAUAUCAGCAGACCUGGAGCUUAAGGAGCUGAGAGUUCUACUUCUUGUUCUAAAGGCAAACAGGAGAAGACUGGCUUCCAGGCCGCUAUGAUGAGUGUGUUAAAGGUCAUGCCCAAAGUGACAGAACUGCUCCAGAAGGCCACAAAUACUCCAACAUGUCCACACAUCCUAAUAGUGCCUCUCCCCGGGUCAAGCAUAUACAAACAAUCACAUAGCGUUUCUCUCAUGUAUGAACACUUUGAUGAUAUCUAAGCCUCUUUCUGGGUUAAGAAUUUGUCCCAUUCACCUCACCAGUAAUGUUUCUCGCCUGUGUGAUUUUUCUGGUGUUUUCUAAGAGAGCUUUUACUUGAAGCUUUUUACUUGUCACACUCACUAUAUUUAUAAGGUUUCUCUGUUGUAUGAAUUCUUCCAUGAAUCAUAAGAUCAUAUUUCUGGGUAACAUAUUUGCUACAUUUACUACAUUUGUAAGGUAUUUUUCCUGCAUCAAGUCCUUGAUGACUUCUAAAAGUGACUUUAUCAAUAAAGCAUUUGCCACAUUCACUACUUUUGUAAGGUUUCUUCUGUGUAUGAAUUCUUUCAUGGCUUCUAACACUGCCCUUUUCAGUAAAGCACUUGUGGCAUUCACUGCAUUUGUAAGGUUUAUUUCAUGUAUGAAUUCUCUGAUGACAUAUAAGGGCACGUUUGUAGCUGAAGCAUUUCUCACAUUCACUACAUUUGUAAGGUUUCUCUCCUGUAUGGAUUCUUUGAUGAACCGUAAGUUGGGAUUUCUUGGUAAAGCAUUUGUCACAUUUACUACAUUUGUAAGGUUUCUCUCCUGUGUGAAUUCUCUGAUGACUUCUGAGACUACUUUUUUGGGUAAAGCAUUUGUCACAUUCACUACAUUUGUAAGGUUUCUCUCCUGUGUGAAUUGUUUGAUGUCUUCUAAGACUGCCUUUCUCAGUAAACCAUUUUCCACAUUCAUUACAUUUGUAAGGCUUCUCUCCUGUAUGAAUUCUCUGAUGCACUGUAAGAAGGCAUUUCAGGGUAAAGGUUUUGCCACAUUCACUACAUUUGAAAGGUUUCUCUCCUGUAUGAAUUAUUUGAUGACUUCUGAGACUUCCUCUUUCAGUAAAGCAUUUUUUGCAUUCACUACAUUUGUAAGGUUUCUCUCCUGUAUGCAUUCUCUGAUGAAUUGUAAGUUGGUAUUUCUGGGCAAAGCAUUUGUCACAUUCAUUACAUUUAUAAGGUUUCUCUCCAGUAUGAGUUCUCUGAUGACUUCUAAGACUGCCUUUCUCAGUAAAACACUUUUCACAUUCACUACAUUGGUAAGGUUUUUCAUCUGUGUGAAUUCUUUGAUGAAUGACAAGACUUCUUUUCCGAGUAAACCAUUUGUCACAUGCACUACAUUGGUAAGGUUUCUC
rnacentral:lncRNA from 1 species